rnacentral:lncRNA from 1 species
CCCGCGCUCCUCCGGGCAGAGCGCGUGUGGCGGCCGAGCACAUGGGCCCGCGGGCCGGGCGGGCUCGGGGCGGCCGGGACGAGGAGGGGCGACGACGAGCUGCGAGCAAAGAUGUGCCCCGGGACCCCCGGCACCUUCCAGUGGAUUUCCUUGCGGAAAGGAUGUUGGCGGUCCCUGUGACCUGUGGAGACACGGCCAGAUCUGCCCUCCAGCCUGAUCUUUUGGCCAGAAGGAGAUUAAAAAGAUGCCCCUCAAGAUGGCUGUGCCUGUCAGCUGCAUGGAGCUUCGUUCAAGUAUUUUCUGAGCCUGAUGGAUUUACAGUGAUCUUCAGUGGUCUGGGGAAUAACGCUGGUGGAACCAUGCACUGGAAUGACACACGCCCGGCACAUUUCAGGAUACUAAAAGUGGUUUUAAGGGAGGCUGUGGCUGAAUGCCUCAUGGAUUCUUACAGCUUGGAUGUCCAUGGGGGACGAAGGACUGCAGCUGGCUGAGAGGGUUGAGAUCUCUGUUUACUUAGAUCUCUGCCAACUUCCUUUGGGUCUCCCUAUGGAAUGUAAGACCCCGACUCUUCCUGGUGAAGCAUCUGAUGCACGUUCCAUCCGGCGCUCAGCUGGGCUUGAGAGUCUCACUCUGUGGUCCAGGCUGAAGUACAGUGGCAUGAUCCCAGGUCACUGCAACCCCCACCUCCCGGGUUCAAGUGAUCCUCCUGCCUCAGCCUCCCGAGUAGCUGGUAUUACAGGCGUGUGCCACAAAGCCUGGCUAAGUUUUGUAUUUUUAGUAGAGACGGGGUUUCACCAUGUUGGCCAGGUUGGUCUCGAACUCCUGACCUCAAGUGAUCCACUCACUUUGGCCUUUCAACGUGCUGGGAUUACAGGCGAGAGUCACCGCACCCGGACGACUCUGACAUUUUUGAAGAGUCCAGAAUCCUGUUACACCUGGGAUUUAGGCACUUUCAAUCUGAAAAAAUACAUAUCCUUUCAGCACUCUGGACGGACUUGAGAACUGUCCUUACGUGACCUAAAGCUGGAGUAUUUUGAGAUUGGAGAAUUAAGAAGGAAGUCACUGUGCAUAGCCAUCCCCUAAGAAGAGGGCAUUCCUGCUCUUCCUUCUCCAUGGCUAGAGGAUCUACAUGAACUAUUUAGAUUUUUUCUACCUGGGAGAUUUAACUCCUCUCUCCUAUUUAUUUAUUUAUAUAUCAGCAUGGACUUGCAGGCCAACAGAGAUUUUGAGAAACACAUUGAAGGAUCUGUUAACACUUGAUAUACCCAAUAAAAGCAGUGGUUGUGCCAGUGCUGAUCUGUCUUGAUGUGAAUGUGAACAAUGGGAACCUGAGCUGAGCAGUUAAUGCUAGGGUGACAGAAACUGGACCUCUCCCAAGACAUGUGACAGAGUAAUACAGCAGCCAACUUCUUCGCCAAAUUAAAGUUUUACAAGAUUUAACCUGUCAUCAAGACCUGGGAUUUUGGUGAGCCAGUCUUGGUGCUCUGUGUUCACCUGGUUCAUCUGAGGAGCUGCAUCUACCCUGCCCAUGCCAUAGAUCCUGCCCUGUUUGCUUCUCCUGUUGCUGCUAGUGGACAUGAGAAGGACAGAAUAACGGGCUCCCAGAUUCACAAGCCCCACCAAGAGGAUCACCCCAGGAACGCUUGGAGGCUGAGGAGUUCACUGAGGCUACUGCAUCUUGAGACUCAGGAUGAAGACCCAGCUUGGGGCUGUCAAAGGUUUUUUGCAUGUCUGACACCCAUGACUCCACCUGGACCUUAUGGCUCCACCCAGAAGCAAUUCAGCCCAACAGGAGGACAGCUUCAACCCAUUACGAUUUCAUCUCUGCCCCAACCACUCAGCAGCAAGCACCUGUUACCUGUCCACCCCCACCCCUUCCCCCAAACUGCCUUUGAAAAAUCCCUAACCUAUGAGCUUUGAAUAAGAUGAGUACGAACUUCAUCGCCCACGUGGCGUGGCCGGCCUCGUGUCUAUUAAAUUCUUUUUCUACUACAA